AGAGAUUGAGAGCUUAAGACUGAAUUUUUUAAACAGAAAUUGAGAACUGAGAGUGAAAAUAUAGACUGAAUUUUGAGAGGGAGAGAUUCCAAACUUAGGAGUAAAAAAAUCAGUUCGAAAGAAGACCUUAAGAGAAAGAGUUUUAGGCAGCCAGUUAGUUCAAUUAAAUUUGUUCCAUUGAAAAAUAACAAAAGUUUUGUUGCAUUGUUUCUCCGGUUCACAAUUUGAUCAAGUUUUCUUCUUUUCUGAUUACUGGGUUGCUGGAAGUUCACUGGUUGGUUCUCGUUUGAUUUUUAGUGUUCAAAUUAGCUCCUUAGGUUGUUUUUUUGUUGUGUUUGUGUUGAGGUUGCCUGGGUUUGUUGGAAGCUAUUUUUGAGGUCGAAAUUACUCUUGUUUUGGUUGACUGUGGCUGUUGGUUAUCAGUUAUUGUGUUGCUGUUGUUGUGCUUGUGUUACUGCUGAACUACUGACCUUCCUCUCCUUCUUUGGCAUUUCAAAAUACCAGGUACACGACUCUUAUACUGGUACAAUGUAGCUGGAACUGUUCGAAGAAUAAAGAAAAAUUAGCCUUAAGGCUCGAAGUUAUUAGCUUUAUUUUAGAUUUUUUAUAUGUAUAUGAUAGAUUUAGCUCAUUAGAAUGGCAUGGUUAAUUGCAAUGUAUCAAUAGGCUCAAUCUGUAAUAAUUCAAGUUCAAUCCCAUGUAUGCUAGUUAGGAAAGAACAAUGAAUUAGCAUGUCCAUUCUUCCAUUUUUUUAGUUUUCAUUU
rnacentral:lncRNA from 1 species